UAGGGAAUCUUCGGCAAUGGGGGCAACCCUGACCGAGCAACGCCGCGUGAGUGAAGAAGGUUUUCGGAUCGUAGAGCUCUGUUGUAAGAGAAGAACGUGUGUGAGAGUGGAAAGUUCACACAGUGACGGUAACUUACCAGAAAGGGACGGCUAACUACGUGCCAGCAGCCGCGGUAAUACGUAGGUCCCGAGCGUUGUCCGGAUUUAUUGGGCGUAAAGCGAGCGCAGGCGGUUUAAUAAGUCUGAAGUUAAAGGCAGUGGCUUAACCAUUGUUCGCUUUGGAAACUGUUAAACUUGAGUGCAGAAGGGGAGAGUGGAAUUCCAUGUGUAGCGGUGAAAUGCGUAGAUAUAUGGAGGAACACCGGUGGCGAAAGCGGCUCUCUGGUCUGUAACUGACGCUGAGGCUCGAAAGCGUGGGGAGCAAACAGG
rnacentral:rRNA from 1 species